GGAUGUGAGGGCGAUGUGGCUGUGACAUCUGUCACCCCACUGAUUGCGAGGGUUGAUUCAGCGGAUCUGGCUAUCUAGGCGGGUGUCCCCUUCCUCCCUCACAGCUCCAUGUGUGUCCCUCCCAAAGCCGCACCCUCGGUAGAAGAGAACAACCUUCCCUGAUAGAGGAGGACUAUUCUUCAGUCAACGGUAUGCAAGUAGCUGCAUUCCCCUGCUGGAACCUCUAACAACAAUCUCUCUCGUUUUUAGGAGAAUGUAAGGUGGUCAAGCUUCCAAGACUCCAGACACAUGUGCCGCAUGUGGCAGUCUGCCUUUCUUU
rnacentral:snRNA from 1 species